rnacentral:rRNA from 1 species
GACGGGGCCGCACAAGCGUGGAGCAUGUGGUUUAAUUCGAAGCAACGCGAAGAACCUUACCAGGUCUUGACAUCCCGAUGCUAUUUCUAGAGAUAGAAAGUUACUUCGGUACAUCGGUGACAGGUGGUGCAUGGUUGUCGUCAGCUCGUGUCGUGAGAUGUUGGGUUAAGUCCCGCAACGAGCGCAACCCCUAUUGUUAGUUGCCAUCAUUCAGUUGGGCACUCUAGCGAGACUGCCGGUAAUAAACCGGAGGAAGUGGGGAUGACGUCAAAUCAUCAUGCCCCUUAUGACCUGGGCUACACACGUGCUACAAUGGUUGGUACAACGAGUUGCGAGUCGGUGACGGCGAGCUAAUCUCUUAAAGCCAAUCUCAGUUCGGAUUGUAGGCUGCAACUCGCCUACAUGAAGUCGGAAUCGCUAGUAAUCGCGGAUCAGCACGCCGCGGUCGAAUACGUUCCCGGGCCUU